AUUGAACGCUGGUGGCAUGCUUAACACAUGCAAGUUGCACGGCAGCAUGAUCUUGCUUGCAAGAUUGAUGGCGAGUAGCGGACGGGUGAGUAAAGCAUAGGGAUCUACCCUAAAGUGGGGGACAACGGAGGGAAACUUUCGCUAAUACCGCAUAAUACCUGUGGGUUAAAGUCUGCUUAGGCAGGCGCUUUAGGAUGAACCUAUGUCAGAUUAGCUAGAUGGUGGGGUAAAGGCCUACCAUGGCGACGAUCUGUAGCUGUUCUGAGAGGAAGAUCAGCCACACUGGGACUGAGACACGGCCGACUCCUACGGAGCAGCAGUGGGAAUAUGGACAAUGGGGGCAACCC
rnacentral:rRNA from 1 species